AAUAUAUCCGGAAGCAACUGUCAUGGCUGCUGUCAGUGAGGGCCCGUAAUGGAGAUCGAGUCAAGGGUUGCCCAGGGACACUUAAGAGCCUUCGGCUUCAAGGAGGCCUCUCAAAGGACAAAGGAUGAGACUGCCUGGCGGCAGAGUGCCCCCCACAAUCGUAGGAACUGUGUCGCCGCGCUUCCCGUUAACUUGCCGCUAAGUUUUUCUAGAAAAGUCGCCCUUCUUGCCAGGGGUGUCCUAUAGACUUUGUCAUGGAGUGAAACAGAAACAAAUGAGGUAAAGCAAGGUGGCUGGAUAGAAUCCUCCAGCAAUCAUCUGCACUGCAGGAACAACAAAUUGAACAACUAUCCACAUAAGAAGCACCUUCACAAGAACCAAAAAUCAGCAGCUGGCUUGGCUUUUUCAGAGGAAACAGAGACUCUCAGACAUGAAUACUGUGACACUGACCACCAGGCCAACUUAACAUCAGCAGAUAUCCUGUCUCAGAUGAAGAGAAUGGCCUGUCCAGAAGACAGCCAAAUACAUCCUUCAAACAGACUUCACUGCAGGAGACAGAGUGGAUUCAUCCUGUAUUCUCCAUGUAGACUUCCAUCUUCAUGAGUACUCCAAGAAGAUGGUUCAGUUGACUAUUGCAAAGUCUCAGGUAUGUCUUUAUCAGCAGCAUGAAAAUGGACUAAUAGUACCAGUAGAGUGGGGCAUUGCUGAAAAGAUACCCGAAAAUGUGGAAGCAACUUUGGAACUGGGUGUUGAAAUAAUCUGGAGGGCUCAGAAGAAGAUAGGAAAAUGUAGGAAAGUUUGGAACCUCCUAGAGACUGUGAAUGGCAUUGACAAAAAUACUGAUAGUGAUAUGAACAAUAAGGUCCAGGCUGAGGUGGUCUCAGAUGGAGAUGAAGACCUUGUUGGGAACUGAAGUAAAGGUGACCCUUGUUAUGUUUUAGCAAGGAGACUGGCAGCAUUUCACCCUUGCCCUAGAGAUUUGUGGAACUUAGAGCUUGAGAGAGAUGACUUAGGGUAUCUGGUGGAAUAAAUUUCUAAGCAGCAAAGCAUUC
rnacentral:lncRNA from 1 species